CCUUUGUCAAUGGGAAUAGGGUCUGAAAAACUCGUAAAGUUUGUGUUGUCAUCAGCUUCAUCUUCCAUAUCCAGGAGCUAGGAGUUAAAUAACAGCACUAAAUUU